GACGAACGCUGGCGGCGUGCUUAACACAUGCAAGUCGAACGGUAAGGCCCUUCGGGGUACACGAGUGGCGAACGGGUGAGUAACACGUGGGUGAUCUGCCCUGCACUUCGGGAUAAGCCUGGGAAACUGGGUCUAAUACCGGAUAGGACCACUGCCUGCAUGGGUGGCGGUGGAAAGCUUUUGCGGUGUGGGAUGGGCCCGCGGCCUAUCAGCUUGUUGGUGGGGUGAUGGCCUACCAAGGCGACGACGGGUAGCCGGCCUGAGAGGGUGACCGGACACACUGGGGCUGAGAUACGGGCCAGACUCCUGCGGGAGGCAGCAGUGGGGAAUAUUGCACAAUGGGCGCAAGCCUGAUGCAGCGACGCCGCGUGAGGGAUGACGGCCUUCGGGUUGUAAACCUCUUUCAGCACCGACGAAGCGCAAGUGACGGUAGGUGCAGAAGAAGGACCGGCCAACUACGUGCCAGCCGCCGCGGUAA
rnacentral:rRNA from 1 species